rnacentral:misc_RNA from 1 species
ACUCAACGUACUCCCUCUCUCUGGCGUGGAGAAAUCUACAAGCGCAGUAGGUGAUCACGUACGUCGCUAUUCUAAAGGAAAAAUCAGUAUAUGCUGCUAUUUUAUGAUUGUCGAAUCGAUACCUAACCAUCGCCACCACUCUCCGACGCCACUGCACCGCUCUGCUAGUGUUAGUGCGUAGAGAAAUCUUGGUCGUAGGAAUCGUUCAAAUGCUGCGGUGCUUCUCUCUCAACUCGCCACCGGCAACUUCAACGUCGCAACCAAACUCACUUACCACACCCAUCCAUCUCCACAACUAUAAUGGGCCUCCGCCUUCUCGAGGUGGAACCUCGACGGAUGGUACGCCAGUGUCGAGCACUUUGCUAUCCCCUACUGUUAACCUCACUCGCGAAUACGCCCUCGCUGUUCAGUCUAAUUCUUACAACGAGAUAUGGUCCAAGAUUCACGACUCCACCCAUCAGGAACUUGACGGAGAACAAAUUGAGUUUCAUUCUAACAAUGACCAUGGGGAGGCUCGCCAGUUGCUUUUGGCACAGGUUCUUCACCCAAACCGGGAAUGUGUUGAGGAGGCUCUCCACGAUGCCAGGCCCAACACUCUCACCCGCCUGGCAUCCAACUACUUUGAGCAUAGUGAAAACACUACCCACCUCUGCCUUCUCCUCCACGGAAGUGUAUAUCGUGCCCGUGCUCUGUAUGAUCCUUUCCAUAAGCUCCUUGACGUCCUUCCCCUAGAUUCAGACUACCUUACUCAAUCACAAUGCAGUUACGCCUAUGAGAUUUUUCUCCAAUUUGAUCGUUAUGGCAAUCCUUUCCCUUGCCGGGAUUCUCAUAACUUCCAGGAUAUACGCCACAGCUUUUCGCAACUCAGUCAACAACUAGAUCACCGACUUCGAAAGUCCCGCUCUAGAGUCAGACUAGUUCGCCGAGCCACCGCUGCUUCUGUCCUUUGCAUUAUCGGUUCCGUUGUAACUGUUACUUUUGCUGCUGUGGCGAUAGCAACUCAUACCCUUGUUGCCAUUGUCGCCUGCCCCUUUUGCACCGUCAUAAACCUUCCUCGAAAGCUCACUAAGAAAGAGCAUGAACAUGCCAAGCAACUUGAUGCUGCAGCUAGGGGAACUUAUGUACUAAACAAAGAUCUUGAUACUAUCGACCGCCUUGUUGCUCGUCUUUAUGAUUCUAUUGAGAGUGAUAAGCAUCUUAUUCGGCUGGGACUGGAAAGGGGUAAUGACAAGCAUGCCAUUUCAGAGGUAUUGAAACAACUCCAAAAAAACCAUCUCAAUUUUAUUGAGCAGCUUAAAGAUCUUGAGGAACGUAUAUGCCUCUGCUUUAAUGCUGUCAAUAAGGCAAGAUCUCUUCUCCUGCGAGAGAUCCAUGUUUAUCAAACUUCUAUUCCCUAACUAGCAACCAAUUGAUGUCUAGCUUUGGAUUUCAUAUGCUUACCAUAAUCAAUUUGUAUAAACCCAUACAAGGAUCUUGUACUCCUAACAAAGAAAGAAGCCUUUGCUCCCAUUUUUUUAACAGUAAGCACUGGGGGAGCCAAUGCACUUUGUACACCUAACAUAUUAUGUUUCAAAAAACUUUGUGAUUUGAGGAAUUUUUGCAUCUGAAUCAUUGAAUUACAAUGCCUUGUUGUUC